rnacentral:rRNA from 1 species
GCCAAGGUCAUUCCACCCUGAACAAGCCCUAUGUCUGAUCUCAGAAGUUAAGCAGGGUCAGGCCUGGUUAGUACUUGGAUGGGAGACCACCUAGAAAGACCAGGUACUGUAGGCA